rnacentral:rRNA from 1 species
CAGGCCUAACACAUGCAAGUCGAACGAGGCAGCGGCCUUCGGGCCGUUGUCGAGUGGCGAACGGGUGAGUAACACGUGAGGAACCUGCCCCGGAGACCGGGAUAACCAGGGGAAACCCUGGCUAAUACCGGAUGCCCUCGGAUGGUCGCAUGGCCGACCGAGGAAAUGCUCAGGUGCUCCGGGAGGGUCUCGCGGCCUAUCAGCUAGUUGGCGGGGUAACGGCCCACCAAGGCAUCGACGGGUAGCUGAUCUGAGAGGACGAUCAGCCACACUGGGACUGAGACACGGCCCAGACUCCUACGGGAGGCAGCAGUGGGGAAUAUUGCGCAAUGGGCGAAAGCCUGACGCAGCAACGCCGCGUGGGGGAUGAAGGCCUUCGGGUUGUAAACCCCUUUCAGCAGGGACGAAAAUGACGGUACCUGCAGAAGAAGCCCCGGCCAACUACGUGCCAGCAGCCGCGGUAACACGUAGGGGGCAAGCGUUGUCCGGAUUUAUUGGGCGUAAAGAGCUCGUAGGCGGUUGCGUAAGUCGGAUGUGAAAACUCAGGGCUCAACCCGGAGACGCCAUUCGAAACUGCGCUGACUAGAGUCCGGUAGGGGAGCAUGGAAUUCCUGGUGUA